UUUAUGGAGAGUUUGAUCCUGGCUCAGGAUGAACGCUGGCGGCGUGCCUAAUACAUGCAAGUCGAGCGAACGGACGAGAAGCUUGCUUCUCUGAUGUUAGCGGCGGACGGGUGAGUAACACGUGGAUAACCUACCUAUAAGACUGGGAUAACUUCGGGAAACCGGAGCUAAUACCGGAUAAUAUUUUGAACCGCAUGGUUCAAAAGUAAAAGACGGUCUUGCUGUCACUUAUAGAUGGAUCCGCGCUGCAUUAGCUAGUUGGUAAGGUAACGGCUUACCAAGGCAACGAUGCAUAGCCGACCUGAGAGGGUGAUCGGCCACACUGGAACUGAGACACGGUCCAGACUCCUACGGGAGGCAGCAGUAGGGAAUCUUCCGCAAUGGGCGAAAGCCUGACGGAGCAACGCCGCGUGAGUGAUGAAGGUCUUCGG
rnacentral:rRNA from 1 species